rnacentral:rRNA from 1 species
GAUGAACGCUGGCGGCGUGCCUAAUACAUGCAAGUCGAGCGAACAGACGAGGAGCUUGCUCCUCUGACGUUAGCGGCGGACGGGUGAGUAAAACGUGGAUAAACUACCUAUAAGACUGGGAUAACUUCGGGAAACAGGAGCUAAUACCGGAUAAUAUAUUGCACAGCAUGGUUCAAUAGUGAAAGACGGUUUUGCUGUCACUUAUAGAUGGAUCCGCGCCGGAUUAGCUAGUUGGGAAGGUAACGGCUUACCAAGGCAACGAUGCGUAGCCGACCUGAGAGCGUGAUCGGCCACACGGGAACUGAGACUCGGUCCAGACUCCUACGGGAGGCCACAGUAGGGAAUCUUCCGCAAUGGGGGAAAGCCUGACGGAGCAACGUCGCGUGAGUGAUGAAGGUCUUCGGAUCGUAAAACUCUGUUAUUAGGGAAGAACAAAUGUGUAAGUAACUAUGCACGUCUUGACGGUACCUAAGCAGAAAGCCACGGCUAACUACGUG